UGGCUUUGUAUUCUUAGCUGAUAAAGCAGCUCAGCCAAUGGGACUGCUUCGGAGGCAAGGUUUGGUGUCAAAUAGCAGGCUAGAUUGAAUGCCUUUGACUGUUAAAGUGGAAGGAGGCUGCAGGGCUUCAUUGGAGCCUCAGAGUUUUUCACUGAGGCAGGGGUCAGCUGAAAGACAAAGAAAAAUGGCGAAUAGUUUGCUGGGGGGUGGGAGGACAGCUGUUCGGGUUUUCACUGGAAUGAACAUUCCAUUCUCAGGUUUCUGCAUCUUCUGCUGCCUUUUGUCCUCCGUUCUUUUUUGGGGGGGAGGGAUAGGAGUGACUUAAAUUCUCCCUGUCCGAGGAGAUAUAAAUAACUCCAUGUAAAAUUAAUGCAGUUCUCGUUGUGAAAAUGUCCACAGAAGGAGGGUUUGGCGGUACCAGCAGCAGUGAUGCCCAGCAAAGCCUCCAGUCCUUCUGGCCCAGAGUCAUGGAAGAAAUCCGAAACUUAACAGUGAAAGAUUUCCGAGUACAGGAACUCCCACUGGCUCGUAUUAAGAAGAUUAUGAAACUGGAUGAAGAUGUGAAGAUGAUCAGUGCAGAAGCCCCUGUGCUGUUUGCUAAGGCAGCCCAGAUUUUUAUCACUGAGCUGACUCUUCGAGCCUGGAUCCACACAGAGGAUAACAAGCGUCGUACUCUUCAGAGGAAUGAUAUUGCCAUGGCAAUUACAAAAUUUGAUCAGUUCGACUUUCUCAUCGAUAUUGUUCCAAGAGAUGAACUGAAACCUCCAAAGCGCCAGGAGGAGGUACGCCAGUCUGUGACUCCUGCGGAGCCUGUCCAGUACUACUUCACGCUGGCUCAGCAGCCCACUGCUGUCCAGGUCCAGGGACAGCAGCAAGGCCAGCAGACCACCAGUUCUACGACCACCAUCCAGCCUGGACAGAUCAUCAUUGCACAGCCUCAGCAGGGUCAGUACUGUUGAGAGCAGUACCAUCCGUUGGGAGUCAUGAGAGGCUGCAGAGGACUCAGUACUGUGAGCUCUGAAUCCCAAUUCUGUCAGUCAUUACUUUAUUUAUUCAUCAGUGAGCAUCCUCUACCACACCCGUGACCAUGCAGGUUGGAGAAGGUCAGCAGGUGCAGAUUGUACAGGCCCAACCUCAGGGUCAGGCCCAGCAGACCCAGAGUGGCACUGGACAGACCAUGCAGGUGAUGCAGCAGAUCAUUACCAACACAGGAGAGAUCCAGCAGAUCCCGGUGCAGCUGAAUGCUGGCCAGCUGCAAUAUAUCCGAUUAGCCCAGCCUGUAUCAGGCACCCAAGUUGUCCAAGGACAGAUCCAGACACUUGCUACCAAUGCCCAACAGAUCACACAGACAGAGGUCCAGCAAGGACAGCAGCAGUUCAGCCAGUUCACAGAUGGACAGCAGCUGUACCAGAUCCAGCAAGUCACCAUGCCUGCAGGCCAAGACCUCGCCCAGCCCAUGUUUAUUCAGUCAGCCAAUCAGCCCUCUGAUGGGCAGACCCCCCAGGUGACUGGAGACUGAGGGCCUGAGCUGGCAAAGCCAAGGACACCCAACACGAUAUUUGCCAUAGAGCCCCAGGCGAUGGGGACAUACCCUCCCUCACCAGAGGACCUGGGACUUCAUUGCCUCCUGCAGGCUAAGAUACUGGUGCACUACUUUCCACGCCUGGGGACUGAGAUUCUACAACAGAAAGAUGCAAUAUUUUUUAUUUUCUUUUUUCCAUUUUUGUCUCCAAGGAAUCAAUAUUUCAAUAUUUUGAGCUAUGUGUCCAAUGCUAUGAAACGAGAAUAUUAAAUAACAUAUUUAUGGCCUUUUCUUGAAACGUGUGGUUGAAGAAAUAAUUCUCUUGUGUGUUUCCUGGCUUGGGCACUCUCCACCACUGCUAAGGGGCGGCCUGUGCUCUUCCUUCCUAAGGGUGUACAGGAUUUCCACUCUGCCAGUUCUGCCCUCAGAAAAAAAGAAAGGGGCAGACCCUUUCCACCAGCAUUCUUCUCUGCCCCUUCCCCAGAACCUUCCGAAUCCAGAAGAUGUGGAAACAUUUCCUGCCUGUGGGCCAUGAACUCAUUCUCCACAGAGAGCUGGUCUCCUCCCCGUCCCUUCUCUCCAGACCCAGGAGAACCAGGACUUUGAGAACCAGGACUUUGUGCACUGCUCUGGCCACUGUUUUAUUUUUUAAAUACAUUAAAGAUUGUGCUCAUCUCCGUUGCUGCAUGGACUCCAGACUGCAUGAAAUGCAAUAAAUCUUGUUUUCGGUACUUGA